GAUGAACGCUGGCGGCGUGCUUAACACAUGCAAGUCGAACGGAAAGGCCACAGCUUGCUGUGGUACUCGAGUGGCGAACGGGUGAGUAACACGUGGGUGAUCUGCCCUGUACUUCGGGAUAAGCUUGGGAAACUGGGUCUAAUACCGGAUAGGAAUCACAUGUGGUUGUGUGGUUGGAAAGCUUUUGCGGUAUGGGAUGAGCUCGCGGCCUAUCAGCUUGUUGGUGGGGUAAUGGCCUACCAAGGCGUCGACGGGUAGCCGGCCUGAGAGGGUGUACGGCCACAUUGGGACUGGGAUACGGCCCAGACUCCUACGGGAGGCAGCAGUGGCGAAUAUUGCACAAUGGGCGCAAGCCUGAUGCAGCGACGCCGCGUGGGGGAUGACGGCCUUCGGGUUGUAAACUCCUUUCGUCAGGGACGAAGCGAAAGUGACGGUACCUGGAUAAGAAGCACCGGCUAACUACGUG
rnacentral:rRNA from 1 species